rnacentral:misc_RNA from 1 species
ACAAGGUGUAUCACACACGCAAAGGCACCUAUACCCAUGAAAGAAGCCAAAUAAAAAGUGCUGAUCCUCCCUAUUUCUUUUGCCCCGCUCUUGGGUAGGCCUGCUUUCUGUUCACUCCCAGCCGUGUAUAUUGCUCCUUGUACAUGUGCCCAACAGAGGGUGGGGGACGCCUUCCUCUCCUUUCUGCUCUCUUUCAAACUUGCUCUCCUUGAUGACAGGGAACGGGGCGACACCGCUCAGUGCUUCGUACCUCAGGGUCCAGCACACCCGCUCUCUGUGUCGGGAAGCCAAGCAGCCCCUUAUGUCCCUGCCGAUGCCAGACCACCUCUGGCGCAGACAGGGUCAAGCACCCCACGGCGCAAGGAGGGGCCAGAGCGAGCCGCGACAGUGCAGACGUGUGCGCCAUCCAUGGGAUGGGCAAUGCGCCAGCCUGACCCGCACCUACCUCACCAGGCCCUCACACUGCCCUGCCGGUGGGGUGGUGGGGAGCCUGGGCCACCCCGAUGGCGGCACCGCGUGGCGACCGGCACAAUGGAGCGGCUGUGCGGCGACCUGCGAGGCGGGGAUGGUGGGCGGAGUCUGAGUCCGAGGCGAUGCUCCGAUGAAUGAGUAGGCGCAUCGCUGUAACGUGCGUGUGUGUGCGCGUGUUCGGCUGCUUCGCACGACGCGGAUGGGGGCCUGUGACAGGGCUGGUGUGUGUGUGUGUGGUGUGCGUGUGGUGUGCGUGUGGUGGUGGGGAGGUGCAGCUUAGUUUGGCCUCAUGCUCUAUGGCCGGAGUACUGCACACGACGAAAGAGAAUAUCGAAGGUGUUCUCUUUUUGUGCGGAAGCGAGGCGAUUCCGGCUCUUUUCUUGGUUGAGGUGGCGCGUCGGCGGCGCGGUGCCGCGGCGGGUCACUUCCCGUUUGUUUUGUUCGCUUUCUACUGCACUGGUGCGCUGCUGUUGCUCAUUUUUCUUUUUUUCUUUUUGGCUCACCCAUCUGUCGUUAUCCAUGUUUGCCCCUUGAGUCAUCUCUCUCUCCCUGUCGACGUUGUUGUUUAUGUGUGUUUGAUUUCUCACGGCGCCUUGCCGUGCAAAGGUG